rnacentral:rRNA from 1 species
GAUGAACGCUGGCGGCGUGCCUAAUACAUGCAAGUCGAGCGAACGGACGAGAAGCUUGCUUCUCUGAUGUUAGCGGCGGACGGGUGAGUAACACGUGGAUAACCUACCUAUAAGACGGGGAUAACUUCGGGAAACCGGAGCUAAUACCGGAUAAUAUUUUGAACCGCAUUGUUCAAAAGUGAAAGACGGUCUUGCUGUCACUAAUAGAUGGAUCCGCGCUGCAUUAGCUAGUUGUUAAGGUAACGGCUUACCAAGGCAACGAUGCAUAGCCGACCUGAGAGGGUGAUCGGCCACACUGGAACUGAGACACGGUCCAGACUCCUACGGGAGGCAGCAGUAGGGAAUCUUCCGCAAUGGGCGAAAGCAUGACGGAGCAACGCCGCGUGAGUGAUGAAGGUCUUCGGAUCGUAAAACUCUGUUAUUAGGGAAGAACAUAUGUGUAAGUAACUGUGCACAUCUUGACGGUAACUAAUCAGAAAGCAACGGCUAACUACGUG